ACUUCCUUGAAUGUCCGACUGCUUUUCCUUUCAGAAACGGCUCCUUCGCAAAUUCCUGUGACCCCAGUCAUGUCUGCUGGGAUGAGAAUCAGCAGGUUCUAUUGGGGCAGAAUAAUCCAGGAUGCAUCAGAAGGGAUCAGAGAGAUAACAUUGGAGGAGCUGGCUUUUCUGCUUGAGAAAGUGCUGUGAAAAAUGUACCUGUCUGCUCAGGACCACAUCUUUGUCAAUAAGAGUGUUUGACCAUUGAGCAUCUAGAGACUGGGAAACUGAACUUUCAUGAAACACCGUUGCUUGUGUGAUCUGUCUCUUCAGAGACAGAGGCCUCUGACCUUUUUGUUAACAUCACCUAUCACUGCGAGCUCGGCACGUGUCAGACAGAUAACUCUAAAACAUCACCAGAGUAAGCAACAAGCAGUCCAUCGGGUCACAAAGAGUCUGACACGGCUUAGCGAAUGAACAGCAGCAAAGCAACAAGGAAACCCAAAACUGUGUUUUUGGUUUGAGGCCAGAAUUUCCUCUCUACCUAGCUUGGAAGCUCGUUUUCCAUUCUCUGUCACUAGAUCCACUCAGUUUCCUAAGAAGUAGACGCCACGUGCUCCCAGAAGUGGUUUGGUUUAGAUGGAGAAAUCUUCAUGGAGAAGGUGCGGAAUCAAGAAGAGGAUCUGGGACUGGACAUGAGGACCGCUGGAAAGCCACCAUAAAUUUUUCCAUUCAUGCAACACGGAUUUAUCCAAUACCUACAGUGAACCAAGCCCUGAACGGAAAAAGGCUCAGAAGACGCGAUUAAAGAUGCUGAACUGAUCAGUAGGCUGCAGGAAGGGGUGGGUGGGAGGUGGGUACAGGAGUUGAUUUUGGGAGAGAGAAAUCCACCAUCUCCCUCAGGCU